rnacentral:lncRNA from 1 species
AAAGAUGUCAGGCUCUGAUUUAUACACUGAGGUAUUUAUUCUGUAAUCCUUACAUUAAAUAGAUUUUUAAGGCCAAAAGAGAUCAUUACGGAUUGUUUAUGAGAAUAGUUCCUAUUGAAAUCAAUGGGAGUACUUGUGGAUUAAAAUAUUUCUUAUCUGAGUAAGAGUAGUUGAACUGGGUCUAUGGUGAUAGCACACCUAAUAAUGGUAUACUGUCUUGUGUAUUUUAUAUCUGCAGGUAUCCAUUUACUUCCCUGAUCAGAGGCUACAGAAGAUGUUUUCAUUCUGGGUGGCCUUGAUUGUUACAUGAGAGAGACAAGAUGGGUGAGGAUCCUUGCAAACAUGAUUUCUCUCUCUCUCGGUCUUCCCAGCCCCAAUAAGGCUAUUCCAAACAACUUGGACAUUCCUCUCUGUCUUGCCUCAGUGAACUCUUGCUUUUCUUGACCAUUAAGCACUCUCUGGAAUGUACAUUUACUGUCUGUAUCUCUAGGCCCCCGUAUUCUCCUUUCCCAUCGACCCUCCCUUCCUGACACCAGCUUGCAAAGCAAUAUUUCCCAUCUG